rnacentral:snoRNA from 1 species
AGCCAAUGAUGUUGUAAGAGUAGUGGACAGAACAGCUUUCUGAAAAACCUUACCCUGAGGCU